AGAGGGGGAUAACAUCCGGAAACGGGUGCUAAUACCGCAUAGGUGAACGGAGCGCAUGCUCUGUUCAUUAAAGAUGGCCUUGUGCUAUCGCUUAUGGAUGGACCCGCGGCGUAUUAGCUAGUUGGUGAGGUAAUGGCUCACCAAGGCAAUGAUACGUAGCCGACCUGAGAGGGUGAUCGGCCACACUGGGACUGAGACACGGCCCAGACUCCUACGGGAGGCAGCAGUAGGGAAUCUUCCACAAUGGGCGAAAGCCUGAUGGAGCAAUACCGCGUGAGUGAAGAAGGUCUUCGGAUCGUAAAGCUCUGUUGUUAGAGAAGAACACGCAGAACAGUAACUGGUUCUGCGCUGACGGUAUCUAACCAGAAAGUCACGGCUAACUACGUGCCAGCAGCCGCGGUAAUACGUAGGUGACAAGCGUUGUCCGGAUUUAUUGGGCGUAAAGCGAGCGCAGGCGGUCUUUUAAGUCUGAUGUGAAAGCCCACGGCUCAACCGUGGAUGGUCAUUGGAAACUGGAAGACUUGAAUGCAGAAGAGGU
rnacentral:rRNA from 1 species